CCCAGACUCCUACGGGAGGCAGCAGUGAGGAAUAUUGGUCAAUGGGCGCGAGCCUGAACCAGCCAAGUAGCGUGAAGGAUGACUGCCCUACGGGUUGUAAACUUCUUUUAUAAAGGAAUAAAGUGAGGCACGUGUGCCUUUUUGUAUGUACUUUAUGAAUAAGGAUCGGCUAACUCCGUGCCAGCAGCCGCGGUAAUACGGAGGAUCCGAGCGUUAUCCGGAUUUAUUGGGUUUAAAGGGUGCGUAGGCGGAAUGCCAAGUCAGCGGUAAAAUCGCGGGGCUCAACCCCGGCGAGCCGUUGAAACUGGCGGGCUGGAGUUGGAGAGAAGUACGCGGAAUGCGCGGUGUAGCGGUGAAAUGCAUAGAUAUCACGCAGAACUCCGAUUGCGAAGGCAGCAUACCGGCGCCCAACUGACGCUGAAGCACGAAAGCGUGGGUAUCGAACAGGAUUAGAUACCCUGGUA
rnacentral:rRNA from 1 species